rnacentral:rRNA from 1 species
CUUCUGAUGGCGACCGGCGCACGGGUGCGUAACGCGUAUGCAACCUACCUGUAACAGGGGGAUAACACUGAGAAAUCGGUACUAAUACCGCAUAACACUAUGAGAGGCAUCUCUUGUGGUUGAAAGUUUCGGCGGUUACAGAUGGGCAUGCGUUGUAUUAGCUGGUUGGUAAGGUAACGGCUUACCAAGGCGACGAUACAUAGGGGGACUGAGAGGUUAACCCCCCACAUUGGUACUGAGACACGGACCAAACUCCUACGGGAGGCAGCAGUGAGGAAUAUUGGUCAAUGGACGGAAGUCUGAACCAGCCAUGCCGCGUGCAGGAAGACGGCUCUAUGAGUUGUAAACUGCUUUUGUACAAGGGUAAACCUGAAUACGUGUAUUCAGCUGAAAGUACUGUACGAAUAAGGAUCGGCUAACUCCGUGCCAGCAGCCGCGGUAAUACGGAGGAUCCAAGCGUUAUCCGGAUUUAUUGGGUUUAAAGGGUGCGUAGGCGGAUUGAUAAGUUAGAGGUGAAAUGUCCGAGCUUAACUCGGGAACUGCCUCUAAUACUGUUGAUCUAGAGAGUAGAUGCGGUAGGCGGAAUGUAUGGUGUAGCGGUGAAAUGCUUAGAGAUCAUACAGAACACCGAUUGCGAAGGCAGCUUACCAAUCUAUAUCUGACGUUGAGGCACGAAAGCGUGGGGAGCAAACGGGAUUAGAUACCCUGGUAGUCCACGCAGUAAACGAUGAUAGCUCGUUGUCGGCGAUACACAGUC